AACGAACGCUGGCGGCAUGCCUAACACAUGCAAGUCGAACGAGACCUUCGGGUCUAGUGGCGCACGGGUGCGUAACGCGUGGGAAUCUGCCCUUGGGUCCGGAAUAACUCAGAGAAAUUUGAGCUAAUACCGGAUGAUGACGUAAGUCCAAAGAUUUAUCGCCCAGGGAUGAGCCCGCGUAGGAUUAGCUAGUUGGUGAGGUAAAGGCUCACCAAGGCGACGAUCCUUAGCGGUCUGAGAGGAUGAUCAGCCACACUGGGACUGAGACACGGCCCAGACUCCUACGGGAGGCAGCAGUGGGGAAUAUUGGACAAUGGGCGAAAGCCUGAUCCAGCAAUGCCGCGUGAGUGAUGAAGGCCUUAGGGUUGUAAAGCUCUUUUACCCGGGAUGAUAAUGACAGUACCGGGAGAAUAAGCCCCGGCUAACUCCGUGCCAGCAGCAGCCGCAGUAAU
rnacentral:rRNA from 1 species